rnacentral:rRNA from 1 species
GGACGAACGCUGGCGGCGUGCUUAACCCAUGCAAGUCGAACGGAAAGGCCUCUUUCGGGGGGUACUCGAGUGGCGAACGGGUGAGUAACACGUGAGUAACCUGCCCUUGACUUUGGGAUAACUUCAGGAAACUGGGGCUAAUACCGGAUAGGAGCUCCUGCUGCAUGGUGGGGGUUGGAAAGUUUCGGCGGUUGGGGAUGGACUCGCGGCUUAUCAGCUUGUUGGUGGGGUAGUGGCUUACCAAGGCUUUGACGGGUAGCCGGCCUGAGAGGGUGACCGGCCACAUUGGGACUGAGAUACGGCCCAGACGCCUACGGGAGGCAGCAGUGGGGAAGAUUGCACAAUGGGUGGAAGCCUGAUGCAGCAACGCCGGGUGCGGGAUGACGGCCUUCGGGUUGUAAACCGCUUUCGCUCAUGACGAAGCUUUGUGUGACGGUAGUGGGUAAAGAAGCACCGGCUAACUACGUG